UUGCCAGCCGCCGCGGUAAUACAGAGGGCUCGAGCGUUAAUCGGAAUCACUGGGCUUAAAGGGUGCGCAGGCGGGUCGUCAAGUGCCUUGUGAAAUCCCACGGCUUAACCGUGGAAUUGCUUGGUAGACCGGCGAUCUUGAGCUCGACAGGGGCCGUCGGAACUCUAGGUGGAGCGGUGAAAUGCGUAGAUAUCUAGAGGAACGCCAAAAGUGAAGACAGACGGCUGGGUCGAUGCUGACGCUCAGGCACGAAAGCGUGGGUAGCGAACGGGAUUAGAUACCCCGGUAGUCCACGCCCUAAACGAUGUGUACUAGAUUGAGGAGGUUUUGACGCCAUCUCGGUCGAAGCUAAAGCAUUAAGUACACCGCCUGGGGAGUACGGUCGCAAGGCUAAAACUCAAAGUAGUAGUGGCGUGAGACGAGUCGACGAGCACACGGAGGUAGAG
rnacentral:rRNA from 1 species